CGGGGGGGGGGUGCUAAUACAUGCAAGUAGAACGCUGAAGAGAGGAGCUUGCUCUUCUUGGAUGAGUUGCGAACGGGUGAGUAACGCGUAGGUAACCUGCCUUGUAGCGGGGGAUAACUAUUGGAAACGAUAGCUAAUACCGCAUAACAAUGGAUGACACAUGUCAUUUAUUUGAAAGGGGCAAUUGCUCCACUACAAGAUGGACCUGCGUUGUAUUAGCUAGUAGGUGAGGUAACGGCUCACCUAGGCGACGAUACAUAGCCGACCUGAGAGGGUGAUCGGCCACACUGGGACUGAGACACGGCCCAGACUCCUACGGGAGGCAGCAGUAGGGAAUCUUCGGCAAUGGGGGCAACCCUGACCGAGCAACGCCGCGUGAGUGAAGAAGGUUUUCGGAUCGUAAAGCUCUGUUGUAAGUCAAGAACGAGUGUGAGAGUGGAAAGUUCACACUGUGACGGUAGCUUACCAGAAAGGGACGGCUAACUACGUGCCAGCAGCCGCGGUAAUACGUAGGUCCCGAGCGUUGUCCGGAUUUAUUGGGCGUAAAGCGAGCGCAGGCGGUUUGAUAAGUCUGAAGUUAAAGGCUGUGGCUCAACCAUAGUUCGCUUUGGAAACUGUCAAACUUGAGUGCAGAAGGGGAGAGUGGAAUUCCAUGUGUAGCGGUGAAAUGCGUAGAUAUAUGGAGGAACACCGGUGGCGAAAGCGGCUCUCUGGUCUGUAACUGACGCUGAGGCUCGAAAGCGUGGGGAGCGAACAGGAUUAGAUACCCUGGUAGUCCACGCCGUAAACGAUGAGUGCUAGGUGUUGGAUCCUUUCCGGGAUUCAGUGCCGCAGCUAACGCAUUAAGCACUCCGCCUGGGGAGUACGACCGCAAGGUUGAAACUCAAAGGAAUUGACGGGGGCCCGCACAAGCGGUGGAGCAUGUGGUUUAAUUCGAAGCAACGCGAAGAACCUUACCAGGUCUUGACAUCCCGAUGCUAUUUCUAGAGAUAGAAAGUUACUUCGGUACAUCGGUGACAGGUGGUGCAUGGUUGUCGUCAGCUCGUGUCGUGAGAUGUUGGGUUAAGUCCCGCAACGAGCGCAACCCCUAUUGUUAGUUGCCAUCAUUCAGUUGGGCACUCUAGCGAGACUGCCGGUAAUAAACCGGAGGAAGGUGGGGAUGACGUCAAAUCAUCAUGCCCCUUAUGACCUGGGCUACACACGUGCUACAAUGGUUGGUACAACGAGUUGCGAGUCGGUGACGGCAAGCUAAUCUCUUAAAGCCAAUCUCAGUUCGGAUUGUAGGCUGCAACUCGCCUACAUGAAGUCGGAAUCGCUAGUAAUCGCGGAUCAGCACGCCGCGGUGAAUACGUUCCCGGGCCUUGUACACACCGCCCGUCACACCACGAGAGUUUGUAACACCCGAAGUCGGUGAGGUAACCUUUUGGAGCCAGCCGCCUAAGGGGGGAAAAAGGA
rnacentral:rRNA from 1 species